rnacentral:rRNA from 1 species
AUAUUUAACGGCCGCGGUAUCAUAACCGUGCAAAGGUAGCGUAAUCACUUGUCUCUUAAAUAGGGACUCGUAUGAAUGGCUAACUGAAAGCCCAACUGUCUCCUACGCCCAAUCAAUGAAACUGAUCUUUCAGUACAAAAGCUGAAAUACCACCACAAGACGAAAAGACCCUGUGGAGCUUUAAACCUACCACUACACAGACGGCCCUUAAGCCCAAUAAGGUACAAUCACCCCCGUCCUUGAUAGUUUAAAUUUUAAGUUGGGGCGACUACGGAGAAAAACAGAACCUCCACGAAACGGACUAAAACUCCGCCACACGGCCCACAAGCCUAAUACCCCCUUAACUGAUCCAGUAAUACUGAAAACCGAACCAAGUUACCCCAGGGAUAACAGCGCCAUCCCCCUCAAGAGUCCCUAUCGCCAGGGGGGUUUACGACCUCGAUGUUGGAUCAGGACACCCAGGUGGUGUAACCGCUACCAACGGUUCGUUUGUUCAACGAUUAAUGUCCU